rnacentral:RNase_P_RNA from 1 species
AUGGUCGCGCCCACAUCAUGGGUGAGGAAAGUCCGGGCUCCAUCGGGCAGGGUGCCGGAUAACGUCCGGUCGAGGCGACUCGCAGGCCAGUGCAACAGAAAAGAAACCGCCGGCUUUGCCGGUAAGGGUGGAAUGGCGGUGUAAGAGACCACCGCUCUUGUGGUAACAUAAGAGGCUGUGUAAACCCCACUCGGAGCAAGACAAAACAGAAGACCAUGCAGCGGCCCGUUGCGUCUUCGGGUAUGUCGCGUUUUGCACGCUUCGUGCAAAGGAGCUGUACGGUAACGUACAGUCAAGAUAGAUGACCAUUUAAAACAGAACCCGGCUUAUCGUGCUGCUCAU